UUAGAUUGAUUGAUUUCGUAUGAGGUUGGUGUGGUGACUUGUUUUUGGAAGUGGAUGUGCUUGGAGGUAUUUUCGAAAAAUGUCACCCCCCCUUUUGCGACAUUGCGAGAGAGAGGCUAGACAACUUGUGCUUGUGGACUCUCUUCUUGCGAGGUCGCAGAAACUUUUCACGUUCUUUUGAAAAAAUGUUGUUGGAGCUUUGCCGAGGCUGUAUGCGAGAGGCUUGUUUUGUACGUGUUGGAACGCGAUUUUGUACAGCUUGUUGUUUGCUUCCCAAACGGAAAACUCCUCCGCGGACUGGCGCGAGGUCACGCAACUUGUUGUUGCUUUUUCGAACAAGAGACUCCUUCGCGCACUGGCGCGAGAUUACGC
rnacentral:lncRNA from 1 species